CAUUAGAUAACUAAUUUAAGUUCUGGUCUCUUAAACCAUAAAUAGUAUACAAAAUAUAGAUACUUCUAAUGA
rnacentral:tRNA from 1 species